AAAUAGCCCUGAUUGAAAGGAAAAACUCCCGAUUUUUAUCGGGAUUUUGGAAUGAAAGCAGGAAUAAGG
rfam:Flavobacterium aquatile LMG 4008 contig3, whole genome shotgun sequence.